rnacentral:tRNA from 1 species
GCCGCCCAGUCAGUAGGGAUAAUCUGACCCUCGGCUUGUAACCGAGUGGGCUCGGGUUCGAACCCCGAAUAAGGCA